GAUGAACGCUGGCGGCGUGCCUAAUACGUGCAAGUCGAGCGAAUGGAUUAAGAGCUUGCUCUUAUGAAGUUAGCGGCGGACGGGUGAGUAACACGUGGGUAACCUGCCCAUAAGACUGGGAUAACUCCGGGAAACCGGGGCUAAUACCGGAUAACAUUUUGAACCGCAUGGUUCGAAAUUGAAAGGCGGCUUCGGCUGUCACUUAUGGAUGGACCCGCGUCGCAUUAGCUAGUUGGUGAGGUAACGGCUCACCAAGGCAACGAUGCGUAGCCGACCUGAGAGGGUGAUCGGACACACUGGGACUGCGACACGGCCCAGACUCCUACGGGAGGCAGCAGUAGGGAAUCUUCCGCAAUGGACGAAAGUCUGACGGAGCAACGCCGCGUGAGUGAUGAAGGCUUUCGGGUCGUAAAACUCUGUUGUUAGGGAAGAACAAGUGCUAGUUGAAUAAGCUGGCACCUUGACGGUACCUAACCAGAAAGCCACGGCUAACUACGUGCCAGCCGCCGCGGUAA
rnacentral:rRNA from 1 species